GAGGGGAGGGAGGGCUGAGCAGCGAUUGGAUGGAAAUCUUCCCAAGUAAAUUAUGGAAAAUCAAAUAACCAGCCACAGAAACACCCUUCCCGGGCACAUGGACAGCACUUGGAAGCUGACGGAUGUUGAGAUAGCCAUGCGUUCGCUGAUUUUUCUUUCGGUUUCUCUAACGCUAACUUUCCUUCAGUCUUAGGACCUUUGCACUUGAGGUGCCCGUGCCUGGCACUCUGCCCCCAGACCUUCCUCUUCCUGCGUCUGUUUCCAGCUCUUCCCUGCAGUGUCCACUCAGGCUGGCAUCUGACCUAAGCACAAAGUUCUCCACCAGAUCACCUGCCCUGGACAAUGUUUCCACUCUAUCCUAUCAUCAAAGCCAGCCCCCUGAACAGGCCCCAGGAAACCCAUUUACCCACGGGGUCAAUGAUUAAUGACAAAGGCCACCCAUUAGGACAGAGGGUUCUCAUCCAGGAGCGCUUUGAAUCAUCAUGGAAACUCUGGGAGCAUAGACAACAGGUUCUGGAAUUCUCUGGCCUCUCUGGGUGCCUGGCCAUUGGAAUUUGGAGGCUACUGAGCUUAGUCUUCUACUCUCCCUUGCAAGUCCACAAGUGGCCACCAGCUUCCUGGUUGUUUUGGAACUGCACGCAAAGGACGCAGCAUGAUGGAGAUGAAAGAUCUCUGAGAGUGGCCAGCUGUGCAACCUGAGGCAGAUGAAUUUACCUCUCUGAUCCUCAGUCUCCUCAUCAGCAAAUGAUCUCUACUUGCAUAGGUUAUCAUGAAGAUUCGGCUAGAUAAUGCACAUAAAGCAGUUUGGCAGGGCUUGGCACAUAGUAAGCACUCGAUAAACAUGCACCCACCGUUAUUAAUGUAGAAAUGUAGUGCUGUCAUUAACAACUGAAAUCUUGGUGAAGAUUUUCUUGUUGGUGGAGGGUCCAAGAACUAGAUGGAAUAGGAAUGGUGGUGAGUGGAGAGAGAAUGUUCUUUGCCUACCCGACUGGCACCCAUCCCAAAGCACACAUGCCCAAGGCCAGCGCAGGAAAUGACAAACAAUUAUUGUCACUAACUCCUCCUGGGGAGGCAGGGUGUUCUUUUCUUCUUCGUUUUUUUGUGUUUUUUUUUAAAUCCUCACCCAAGAAUUUUUUCAUUGAUUUUUAAGAGAGAG